rnacentral:rRNA from 1 species
UACAGAGGGGGCAAGCGUUGUUCGGAAUUACUGGGCGUAAAGGGCGCGUAGGCGGCCUGUUAAGUCGAACGUGAAAUCCCCGGGCUCAACCCGGGAACUGCGUCCGAUACUGGCAGGCUUGAAUCCGGGAGAGGGAUGCGGAAUUCCAGGUGUAGCGGUGAAAUGCGUAGAUAUCUGGAGGAACACCGGUGGCGAAGGCGGCAUCCUGGACCGGCAUUGACGCUGAGGCACGAAAGCGUGGGGAGCAAACAGG